UUGACAGCCCUGGAGACUGAAGUCCUCUAUUUAUCCACAGAGCAGACACUGCAGCACGGGCAGCGGCAGUGCCAGCUUCGCCCACACUGCCCCUCCGCCAGCGGGCGUCAACCCCGACUUGGAGGAGCCACCUCUAAAGGUGAGAGGGGUAGGUUCAGUCUCCAUGCCCAUUCAAUCCUCGGCUUCU
rfam:Canis familiaris ctg19866850144705, whole genome shotgun sequence.